CUUGGGAACCAAAGAAAUAUACAUGAUAUAGAUGAAGAACCAGCGGGGACUACUAUGAGGAUUGAAUCAUCUCUUCAGUCUGGUGAAGCAGGAUUGGAAAGGAAGUAACAGGGGUAAAGUGCUCCUCCCAUCCCCAUACAAAAACAGUCUGCUCAGCAAGCCACGGGCCACCAUUGCUGGGAGUACACAGAAGUACAGCCAUAUACUGACUGUACUCCUACUGGGCUCUGCUGGCCAGGGUAAUCGCUGCCUUGCCGUUUGCAUCUACCCAUACACAGCAGUCGAAGUGACUAAUCUUUGACUGUCCCUGUGCUUUUACAUCUACCAGAUUCAGAUUCACAGGGGUACAGGAAUACUAUGCAGCCAUCAAAAGAAAUGAAAUCUUGCCAUUUGCGACAACAUGGAUGGAACUAGAGCGUAUCAUGCUUAGCGAAAUAAGUCAAGCAGAGAAAGACAACUAUCAUAUGAUCUCCCUGAUAUGAGGAAGUGGUGAUGCAACAUGGGGGCUUAAGUGGGUACGAGAAGAAUAAAGGAAAGAAGAUGGGAUUGGGAGGGAGACAAACCAUAAGUGACUCUUAAUCUCACAAAACAAACUGAGGGUUGCUGGGGGGAAGGGAUUUGGGAGAAGGGGGUGGAUUAUGGACAUUGGGGAGGGUAUGUGCUUU
rnacentral:lncRNA from 1 species